CAACAGAGGGAAGCAAGACCGCGAGGUGGAGCAAAUCCCUAAAAGCCAUCCCAGUUCGGAUUGCAGGCUGAAACCCGCCUGUAUGAAGUUGGAAUCGCUAGUAAUCGCGGAUCAGCAUGCCGCGGUGAAUACGUUCCCGGGCCUUGUACACACCGCCCGUCACACCAUGAGAGUCGGGAACACCCGAAGUCCGUAGCCUAACCGCAAGGGGGGCGCGGCCGAAGGUGGGUUCGAUAAUUGGGGUGAAGUCGUAACAAGGUAUC
rnacentral:rRNA from 1 species